UCGAACCCUGCAUGGCAGAACGACCAGUUAACACGUAAAUACAACUGGGUGAUGGGGAGAUGGGCCUUGGCUCUUUUCCUUAUCCCCUCUCGGUGUGUGUUUGUGAUGCCUCUUUUGGGGCGCCACUGACGUCAUGCUGAACCUUAACAAACCCCGGCACGGCAUGUGCCAAGGAAAACAAAAUCGAGAAGGACGCGUCUUGUGUUGCCCCGUUCGCGGUGUGCAUGCGGGCCGUGGCCUUUUUAUAAUUACAAACGACUCUCGGCAACGGAUAUCUCGGCUCACGCAUCGAUGAAGAACGUAGCAAAAUGCGAUACUUGGUGUGAAUUGCAAAAUCCCGUGAACCAUCGAGUUUUUGAACGCAAGUUGCGCCCGAAGCCAUCCGGCCGAGGGCACGCCUGCCUGGGCGUCACGCAUCGCGUCGCCCCCACCAAAUUUCCAAAUCUGGUUGGGGGCGGAGAUUGGCCUCCCGUACCUGUUGUGGUUGGCCUAAAAAGGAGUCCCCUUCGGUGGACACACGACUAGUGGUGGUUGAACAGACCCUCGUCUUUAUUGUGUGUCAUGAGCUGCUAGGGAGCCCUCAUCAAAGACCCUUUGUAUCGUUUUCGGACGGUGCUUCGAC
rnacentral:misc_RNA from 1 species